UACGUAGGGGGCGAGCGUUGUCCGGAGUUACUGGGCGUAAAGCGCGUGUAGGCGGUCCACCAAGUUUGGGGUGACAGUUGCCGACUUAAUCGGCAAAGUGCCUCAAAGACUGGCGGACUUGAGGGCCACAGAGGGACAUGGAACUCCAGGUGUAGUGGUGAAAUGCGUAGAUAUCUGGAAGAACACCAAAGGCGAAGGCAGUGUCCUGGGUGGUCGCUGACGCUGAGAGGCGAAAGCGUGGGGAGCAAACAGG
rnacentral:rRNA from 1 species